rnacentral:rRNA from 2 species
AAGUCCGAUCAUACCAGCACUAAUGCACCGGAUCCCAUCAGAACUCCGCAGUUAAGCGUGCUUGGGCGAGAGUGGUACUAGGAUGGGUGACCUCUUGGGAAGUCCUCGUGUUGCACCUC